CUUUAGAAUAAUUUGUAUACACCCGUCGAAGGCUAUAGACUGAUAGCCGAAAGCUCGUAGAAAUAAAUAUUUAGUCAGCGAACGUUUAAUGAAUGUUUCAACCUGGCUGCGCAUCCUCUAUUUUUAUCAUGCAGUCAACACUCACCGAAGGCUGAUUGAAUUUAACAGCGACGUAAUGUUUGGAUACUACACACGUAAAAACGCACAAGUUGUGACAAACUUGCAGCAGACUUGUAGCAAUGCUGUUCUAACAACUUGUUAACAGGAUGUGUUCGCACUGCUUGUUCCCAGCUUGUUGACAAGUUGUCAACUGCUUGUUGACAACUUGCUGCAAGGUUGUUGAGCUCAACAGACUUGUUACAAGUUGUUCCAACAACUUGUUAUCGUCCUGCAAUUCAACAAUUGUCAACAAGUUGUGAGUGACAACCUUGUAGCAACUUGAUAAAGUAACAGCAUUGUUACUUGUUGACAAGCUUGCUACAAGCCUGUUGCUAGACUUGGUUCAAGUCCGUCUCAAGAGAAAAGUAGGGAGAGACGGACUUGGGACAUUCGCAGCAUUUCGAAUGUUACUUGCAAAACUUGGCGCGAAAAUUUGUUGUUCUCAACUGUGGCAAGCCACGCCAGUGAAUCCGACGGUAACAUUUUGCGCGCUUGCAGGGUAUCCAAGUCCGUCUCUCCCUACUUUUCUCUCAUAUUUUCGCGCCUUUUUUGACCGCUCGCGUGCAUCGCUAUUUUCAAUCCCUUGAGAGAGGGACUUGAACCAAGUCUAGCCUAUUGCGAACACAUCUUGUUGACAACUUGUGAGACUUUUACGUGUGUAGGUUACGGUGAACAACUGAAUUACCAAGACAUUGCUUAUCUGUGAAACGUCUUAAGAUGUUUACGUAAUGUAACUGAACCAAUGGAAAUGCAAUGUAUAAUAAAACGGUUGUUUAUUAUCCAAUAACUGUUUUCAUUAUUAGCAUGACAAAAUUACUGGAUGCUGAUUGGUUGAGAGGAGUACAAUUAUUUCAUUAAUUGUACUGCAGUACAAUUAAUGAUUUUCCCAAAACAAACAAAAUGGCGGAAAUGUAUUUAAACACAAACGAAAUUGCCCUAGAGGAACUUAAAGCAAAAUAACUAAAUGAAAAUACGAACAAAAGUCUGUCAGGACUGGGCUUUGGCGAGAGAAUAUGAUGUGGACAUUGAGUAUUAUCCAAUGUUGUCAUGCUAAUAAUAAACAAGUAACAAUUACGGAUUAAUAGUACUCGUAAUGUUUGGAAAUUUUGCCAAAUUGGACUCGCCCCGGCGGCUCGUCCAAUUUUUGCAAAAUUUCCAAACAUCACUCGUACUAUUAAUUGUACUCGCCAUCGCAUGAUUAUCCAUACAAAGUCGAACUAUUAUCAAUAUUACGUUGUAAUGCCUCCAACUAUUGCACUUUCUGUAUUUAGCACAACAAAAUUGCAAUCCGCAUACAACCUUUUAACUGUCAAUCUAAAUGCAGACUCAGACUCAAAAUAUUUCCUUUUUUACAGGUUAAAACAGUUGUCGCUGUGGACAAUUUUUAGUGCAGAGUUUCUUUGAAACUGUGCACUAUUGUGAUAGGAUAGGAAGAAAUAUAAUGUAACGUAAACAUAUUACACUGUAAAAUAAACACAGCGAAUACAGGCUACCUGCUUCACCUUGACUAGUUUGUUUUACUUUGUAUUGUUGUCACUUCUGUCAAUCAACGCAACAAAAUUUGUACCCAAUCGACGCUCGGAUGUUGGUUGGGAAGUUCACGCCCAACUUGCAA
rnacentral:lncRNA from 1 species